AGAGUUUGAUCCUGGCUCAGGACGAACGCUGGCGGCGUGCUUAACACAUGCAAGUCGAACGGAAAGGCCCGCUUGCGGGUACUCGAGUGGUGAACGGGUGAGUAACAUGUGGGCAAUUUGCCCUCAGCUCUGGGAUAACUCCGGGAAACCGGUGUUAAUACUGGAUAUCGACUUCUGCCUCGUAUGGGGUGUUGUUGAAAGUUUUUCGGCUGGGGAUGGGCCCGCGGCCUAUCAGUUUGUUGGUGGGGUGAUGGCCUACCAAGGUGAUGAUGGGUAGCCGGUUUGAGAGGGUGAUCGGCUAUAUUGGGAUUGAGAUAUGGCCUAGACUCCUACGGGAGGCAGCAGUGGGGAAUAUUGCGCAAUGGGCGGAAGCCUGACGCAGCGACGCCGCGUGAGGGAUGACGGCCUUCGGGUUGUAAACCUCUUUCAGCUCUGACGAAGCGAGAGUGACGGUAGGAGCAGAAGAAGCACCGGCCAACUACGUGCCAGCAGUUGCGGUAAUACGUAGGGUGCAAGCGUUGUCCGGAAUUAUUGGGCGUAAAGAGCUCGUAGGCGGUUUGUCGCGUCGAAUGUGAAAACCCGGGGUUUAACCCCGGGCCUGCAUUCGAUACGGGCAGACUAGAGUUCGGUAGGGGAGUCUGGAAUUCCUGGUGUAGCGGUGAAAUGCGCAGAUAUCAGGAGGAACACCGGUGGCGAAGGCGGGACUCUGGGCCGAUACUGACGCUGAGGAGCGAAAGCGUGGGGAGCAAACAGGAUUAGAUACCCUGGUAGUCCACGCCGUAAACGUUGGGCGCUAGGUGUGGGGUUCCUUUUACGAACUCCGUGCCGCAGCUAAUGCAUUAAGCGCCCCGCCUGGGGAGUACGGCCGUAAGGCUAAAACUCAAAGGAAUUGACGG
rnacentral:rRNA from 1 species